GAUUUCAACGAAGGGGAGUAGCUUUUAAAUAGUUAGUCGUCAAUCCGGAGUAAUCCCGGCUAACUAUCCUGUAAACUUAGGUAGCAAGACCUUUGUUUAGUCA
rnacentral:sRNA from 1 species